CACUUUUCUCACGAAUGUACAAAAUCUUUAUAGUUUAUUUCACUGAGGCUAGUCAUCAUGCUGUUUGUUGGAAAUGGCUGAGAUGUUCUUUGGUUACAUCAACAUGAAGAUGAAGAACUGUUUAUGUGAGAUAAUUGCAGUCUCAUUUUCCUGGAUAACUACAUAAAUAUUUCCUGUCUUAUCUUACACUGACAAGCACAAAAAAAAUCUGGACAGACGGGUUUCAACGAAAAUCGACAUUUUAACAUCCAUACGGUAGUUAGCAAAACAUAGGCUAUUAAAACAUUACUCCGUGGAACAUAGUUUAUAUUUAUUGAACCGAGAUGAAAAGCGCAUAUCUUCGGAGCAGAUGACAGGGUUCCUUCACUUCCUGAUGGCGAACAGGGAUCAUAUUUGGUGAGUUUUGCAGAAAUCUUUAGGUUUUGUUCCCAGAUACACUCGCAGGAGUUAGACUUUUCACUACGCCUGGGUGGAAGACACGUAACGGGAAGUUUUGAGUCCAGUUUCAGGGUUUUACGGGAAGAGGAUGCAGAUGUUCUGAGGAUCCUCAGCGGUUCCUUGAGUCCAGAACGGAGAACAAAGAGAAAUGGCUCAAGAUGUCUUAUGAGACCGAGAAAGCUUGCCUGCUGGCUCCACAGCAAUCACGAACACCAUGUGUUUGUCACAAAUAUGAAAUCCCCGGAAUGGGAGAGGACAGUGUUUUAGAAAUGCUGAGCUACUCCAAAUUCUCUGAUCUGGAGACAUGGCUGUGUAUGCCCUCUACUUUGUUACCCAGGAGCCGGGAUUCAGUUUGCUCCUUGCCGUCACCGUCCAAUGAGAAUGGCACUGGAGACACAG